AACGAACGCUGGCGGCAGGCUUAACACAUGCAAGUCGAGCGCCCCGCAAGGGGAGCGGCAGACGGGUGAGUAACGCGUGGGAACGUACCCUUUGCUACGGAAUAGCUCCGGGAAACUGGAAUUAAUACCGUAUGUGCCCUACGGGGGAAAGAUUUAUCGGCAAAGGAUCGGCCCGCGUUGGAUUAGCUAGUUGGUGGGGUAAUGGCCUACCAAGGCGACGAUCCAUAGCUGGUCUGAGAGGAUGAUCAGCCACAUUGGGACUGAGACACGGCCCAAACUCCUACGGGAGGCAGCAGUGGGGAAUAUUGGACAAUGGGCGCAAGCCUGAUCCAGCCAUGCCGCGUGAGUGAUGAAGGCCCUAGGGUUGUAAAGCUCUUUCGGCGGGGACGAUAAUGACGGUACCCGCAGAAGAAGCCCCGGCUAACUUCGUGCCAGCCGCCGCUGUAAAAC
rnacentral:rRNA from 1 species